CGGGGUGUAGCGCAGCUUGGUAGCGCGCCUGCUUUGGGAGCAGGAUGUCGCAGGUUCGAAUCCUGUCACCCCGA
rnacentral:tRNA from 1 species